AAUAAGAUCGUUUUUCAGUUAUUGGAUACAAUGUUUUGACUCUUCGUCUUAUUUGAAAUUUUUUUGCGAUUAAUAUUUGUAUUCUUACUAGAUGAUAUAACAUGAAUAAUACCUUAUGCGUGACUAAUUUUUAAGUUUUUUUUAUAAAUUUCUCAAAUAACACGAAUGAUCAAAUGUUGGACACCGAAAAAC
rnacentral:pre_miRNA from 1 species